GUUAUAACAUAAACAGCCCACACGGGAGAUUAAUUCCUAAUGCUUGCUUUGUCAGUGUUUGGGAAAUUCCUGGUUCGAUAGCACAUGUAACACAGACAGAGUUAUUAUAUUUCAUUUGCAGUCUGGCCUGUAGUCACAUGGAUCUAAGUGACCAAGUUAUUUGAAGUGGUGCACUCAUAUUAACUAUGCCUAUACUGCCUGCAAAGGAUGACCCCACUACUGAUCCAGGGGAUUUAUCCACUACAGGGUGAGCGACCAGACAUGGCUUGAGGUACAACCAGAGCACCAUUGCCAGCAUCUACAGGACCAUGUAUUCCUAAAAUACUCUUUUAGGACAAACUAAAAUUCUCUACUGGAUCCAAGGCUGGCUUUUCUGUGGUCCUUCCUGCAGUGUUUUAGGCUACUUGAAAUAGACAUUUCCACGUAGACUUUUCUCUCCUUGCAUGAUAUUGUGUGUCAUAGUGCAACAGAACUUUGAAAAGAUCUCAGGGACCCAUGAAUGGAUAUCAGAAGUUUAAAGCUGUGCUGUCAGUAGGCACACACACCGUGGUUUCAAGACAGAGAGGUCCACCCUUUUCAUCAAGGUCAGUCAAGUCAAUCAAGGGAGAAGAACGGAAAAACUGCAUAGCGAUUAGCAGAAGACGGUAUUAAGUGAUUGAUGGCAGAACUCCCAAAGGAUGCAUCAGGAGGAAACAGAUAAUGAUACGUUACUGCACGUUUGUUGAUUAUUUACUUGUACCACAUAUAAGACAACUAUAUAAAGGGUGAAUGAUUUCAUUACUCUUUGUAAUUAGAAUUUUACAGUUGUUCCUAGCUUGAUUUCUUCAUAGAACAUUCAUAAGGACAUUUUGGCAAAUUCAACCUACAGGGACAGAAAUUGAGCCUUAAUUUCAGCUUUAAUAGGGAUCAAUGAAAG
rnacentral:lncRNA from 1 species